ensembl:lncRNA
GCACGGAAACGGAUUCCGUUCGGAAAUCCUUGCCAAACCACACGGAAUCCGUGCGGUUAUGCACUUUUACCGCGCCAUUCUAGGGCCGGAUUGUGGCCUUCUUGGCUUUCCAUAAAGCUGCUGCUGGCCCGGCUGGCCUUCUACAGCCGCACGGCCGCGCCGUCAAGGUGAUAUUAGCCGCGGCGUGGCUCACGUUGUUGCGGACCGAGCAGCUGACCAGUCCCGUCCGCCCCGGCUCCAGAGUGACGUCACUAGCGCUACUGGGUCCGGAGAGGAGACGCGGGUCGUUCAGCGGGAGUCCGUCUAGACUCCAGCUGUAGUGGAGUCCGUCCCCCCCGGCAGAGCAGGACACCCUCUGCUGUCCCCGGGACAGACACUCCCGGGACAGGAGGGGAGAGGAGACCGGGGCUAAGGGAAACCGACUGAGGAGACAAGGUGAUGUUAGCCGCGGUGUGGCUCACGUUGUUGCGGACCGAGCAGGUGAGCAGUCCCGACCGGCCCGGCUCCAGAGUGACGUCACUAGCGCUACCGGGUCCGGAGAGGAGACGCGUGUCGUUCAGCGGGAGUCCGUCUAGACUCCAGCUGUAGUGGAGUCCGUCCCCCCCAGCAGAGCAGGACACCCUCUGCUGUCCCCGGGACAGACACUCCCGGGACAGGAGGGGAGAGGAGACCGGGGCUAAGGGAAACCGACCGAGGAGGUUGUAGAUAUCAUCUUGUGAGGUCUUAGUAGCCAGCAGGACCUUCACGGUUCCUCCCAGAGAGCCAAAGCACUGGGUCGUGAUGUGUGGCUGUGUGGCAUCGCAGAAGGUCUUCACACCUGGAGGUUUACAGAGGAGAAUAAAACAAUACAGGAGAUAUAGCUCACUGAGAUUCACAGUUCUACUCUCACUUUUGCUACAACAAAUCUCUAUAAGAGCUAUGAAGUCAGAGGUUAAUGUCAAAAUGAUCCUUAAUGACCUUAAUGAAUCCUUAAUGAUGAUGAGAGGGAAACAGCAGCUAAAAACCUUUUUUCCUCUUAUCUGUAACCCUGGUUACCAAUAAUUAACUACUGCUACUGAAAUAAGAUAUAGUUCCUUACCUUGAAUGGUUAAAUUACAUUUUGUAUUUGCUACUUCCCUUCCAGCUGCAUCGUGUAGUUCCAUAGAGUAUGUACCGUUGUCUGACCAGUCGAUGUCCUUUAUAGCAAAUAUUCCAGUACUGAUAUUAAAUGAAUAUCGAAAGUUUGUUGUCUCACUGCUCUUGGACAAAACCACAACAUUGUCUUUCUUCAGUUUGUAGAUAUCAUCUUGUGAGGUCUUAGCAAGCAGCUGGACCUUCACGGUUCCUCCCAGAGAGCCAAAGCACUGGGUCGGGAUGUGUGGCUGUGUAGCGUUGCAGAAGGUCUUCACACCUGGAGGUUUACAGAGGAGAAUAAGAUCUACUCUCACUUUUAUGAUGAAUAAAACAUGUGCCAUUGCAGAGAGACGACAUAGUACAACUAAAUGAUGAAUGUUGACACAUAAUUUUUUCUUAUAUUGUUAGAUCUGAUUGACAUAAAUUCACCAUGGUUUUCAUGUUAAUUAAAGUACACUAAAUCUAAUUAAUCCUCUAUG